rnacentral:tRNA from 1 species
GUCAGAGUGGCGGAAUUGGUAUACGCGCUAGCCUUAGGAGCUAGUUCCCAAAAGGAUUGUGGGUUCGAGUCCCACCUCCAGCA